rnacentral:rRNA from 1 species
CGCCCGCCGCUCCUACCGAUUGGGUGUGCUGGUGAGAUGUCGGGAUUAGUGGCUGUGGGCGGUUCGCCGCCCUCUGCCGCUGAGAACUUCAUCAAACCCUCCCACCUAGAGGAAGGAGAAGUCGUAACAAGGUUCCU